rnacentral:ncRNA from 1 species
AAGGAGGAAGCCGAAAAUCCAUAAGAGUAGGCA